UACGAGGGGGGCAAAUGUUGUUCGGAAUCACUGGGCGUAAAGGGAGCGUAGGCGGGUUUUUAAGUCAGGUGUUUAAUCCCGGGGCCCAACCCCGGACAGGCACUUGAAACUGGGAAUCUUGAAUAGUGGAGAGGUCAGUGGAAUUGGGGGUGUAGCGGUGGAAUGCGUAGAGAUCCCCAAGAACACCAGUUGCGAAGGCGGCUGACUGGACACAUAUUGACGCUGAGGCUCGAAAGCAUGGGGAGCAAACAGG
rnacentral:rRNA from 1 species